GAUCAUGGCUCAGGAUGAACGCUAGCGGCAGGCUUAACACAUGCAAGUCGAGGGGUAUUGGUUUUCGGACCAAGAGACCGGCGCACGGGUGCGUAACGCGUAUGCAAUCUACCUUUUGCAGAGGGAUAGCCCAGAGAAAUUUGGAUUAAUACCUCAUAGUAUAGUACUUUGGCAUCAAGGAACUAUUAAAGUCACAACGGCAAAAGAUGAGCAUGCGUCCCAUUAGCUAGUUGGUAAGGUAACGGCUUACCAAGGCUACGAUGGGUAGGGGUCCUGAGAGGGAGAUCCCCCACACUGGUACUGAGACACGGACCAGACUCCUACGGGAGGCAGCAGUGAGGAAUAUUGGACAAUGGGCGCAAGCCUGAUCCAGCCAUGCCGCGUGCAGGAUGACGGUCCUAUGGAUUGUAAACUGCUUUUGUACAGGAAGAAACACUACUUCGUGAAGUAGCUUGACGGUACUGUAAGAAUAAGGAUCGGCUAACUCCGUG
rnacentral:rRNA from 1 species